GAUGAAGAACGCAGCGAAAUACGAUAAGUAGUGUGAAUUGCAGAAUUCAGUGAAUCAUCGAAUCUUUGAACGCACAUUGCGCCCUUUGGUAUUCCAAAGGGCAUGCCUGUUCGAGCGUCAUUUGUACCCUCAAGCUUUGCUUGGUGUUGGGCGUCUUGUCUCCAGUUCGCUGGAGACUCGCCUUAAAGUAAUUGGCAGCCGGCCUACUGGUUUCGGAGCGCAGCACAAGUCGCGCUCUCUUCCAGCCAAGGUCAGCAUCCACAAAGCCUUUUUUCAACUUUUGACCUCGGAUCAGGUAGGGAUACCCGCUGAACUUAAGCAUAUCAAUAAGCGGAGGA
rnacentral:misc_RNA from 1 species